ACAGAACUUGUUUUCCCACAGUUCUGGAGGCUGGGAGUCCGAAAUCAAGGGGUCAAGAUUCUCUCUCCAAAGACUCGAGGGGAAGAUCCUUCUCUGCUCCUUCUAGCUUCUGCUGUUUGCCAUCAGUCCUUGGUGUGUCUCGGCUUGUUGAUCUACCACCCCUGGCUCUCAUCUCCCCUGCAUGUCUGUGUCCACACUCUCCCCUUCUUACAAGGAGGCCAGUCAUUGGAUUACAGCCCACUCUAAUCCAGCAGGACCUCGUCUUAACCAGUUACAUCUGCAAAGACUCUAUUUCCAAAUAAGGCCACCUUCGAAAGUUCCAGGUAGACGUGAGUCUGGGGGACACUAUUCAACCCCAUGCAGCUGGAUGGUGCACUGUUUGCCUGUGUGACUCCCACACUCCUGCUCUUCCCACUGGAUCCUGGACUCAAUUGCUCCAUUUCCAGGAUUAUGAUCUGGGGCCAGGACCAUACAGGAGACUGAAGCAUUGAGUCCAGCCCCCUGGCGGCACCAUUACUGCUGAGCGCCCUCAUCUGUAAGCGGCGAUGGAUGCCUACCACCAGGAGUGCUUUUGUGCAUUCAAGGAGAGUCCAUGGGUGAGGACACUGGCCAUGGUGUCUGGCCGGGAAAGGACGAGAAACAAGAGAGCUGGGUCUGAUGUGACCCUGAUGCUUUCCUCGAUGCUUCCUGCCUCUUUUCUUCUAGGCUAUUCUUCCCUACUCUCUCAUUGCGCUUCUCUGGACACCAAGGACAGGCCAUUAAAGUUGACAUCAGAAAGAGCAAGUAGCAGCUGGCGUAGGCUUCAGUCACUCCCUGACUCUAGAGGGCCGUCACAGCAUGUCUGGACACACAUCCAGGCUGGACAUUUGGGCUGGCAAACAGACUGGCCUCCUAAAAGAGUUAAGCUGACUUUGUCAAAGUCAGAAAGAUUAAAUACAAGGAAAUGAA